rnacentral:rRNA from 1 species
ACAUACCUUCACGUUGCUUCGGCGGGUUGGCCCCGGUCUCCGGGGUCCCCGGCCCUACUCGGGCGCCCGCCGGAGGUAUCUAACUCUUGAACUUUUAUGGCCUCUCUGAGUCUUUGUACUUAAUAAGUCAAAACUUUCAACAACGGAUCUCUUGGUUCUGGCAUCGAUGAAGAACGCAGCGAAAUGCGAUAAGUAAUGUGAAUUGCAGAAUUCAGUGAAUCAUCGAAUCUUUGAACGCACAUUGCGCCCGCCAGUAUUCUGGCGGGCAUGCCUGUUCGAGCGUCAUUUCAACCAUCAAGCCCCCGGCUUGUGUUGGGGACCUGCGGCUGCCGCAGGCCCUGAAAACCAGUGGCGGGCUCGCUAGUCACUCCGAGCGUAGUAAUACAUCUCGCUCAGGGCGUGCUGCGGGUUCCGGCCGUUAAAAAGCCUUAUUUACCCAAGGUUGACCUCGGAUCAGGUAGGAAGACCCGCUGAACUUAAGCAUAU